GGGGUUAUGGCUCAGUGGUAGAGUGCUUGCCUCAUACGUACGAGGCCCUGGGUUCAAUCCUCAGCACCA
rnacentral:tRNA from 1 species